rnacentral:rRNA from 1 species
UACGGGGGGGGCAAGCGUUGUUCGGAAUUACUGGGCGUAAAGGGCUCGUAGGCGGCCAACUAAGUCAGACGUGAAAUCCCUCGGCUUAACCGGGGAACUGCCAUUGAUACUAUCAAUCUUGAAUCAUCUGGAGGUAAGCGGAAUAUGUCAUGUAGCGGUGAAAUGCUUAGAUAUGACAUAGAACACCAAUUGCGAAGGCAGCUUACUACGGGUGCAUUGACACUGAGGCACGAAAGCGUGGGGAUCAAACAGG